CUUUUGUUAUUGUGCAGCUUCACAGCUCAUUUCAUCUCAAUCAUCUGCUUGAGCAUCCUGUAGACAGCAGGAGCCAGCAGCAACCUCAGAACAUUUCAGUCAUCCAUGUACUCAGCUCAGCUUUUAUGGAAGCAAUUUGCAGUUGUGAAACAGAUUGUCCAGAAGAGGGGGCCAAAAACUCAAAAGAUGCAAAAAGAUUCAUUGAAACAAUAUUUAAAAGAAUAGAAGGGUCCUUUGUGAAGCCCAGAGCUCUUUCAUCUGCCCUGUGCAGCUUCCUUGUGGUGAAAGAAACUACAGUUCCACUGAGGGGGCUGAAUGGUGUGCUGGCCUCCAAAAAGAGUGCAGAGUUGUUUUGGAAAGAGACCUGCUGGCAGCUGAACAAGUGCACUUGCCCGUGAACCUCACACUAAGAACAACAGUAGAUGUAAUUUUGUACAGCUUACCCUUAAGUGGAAUUUUGGAGGACUCUCAAGCAAGGAGCUUGUAUCUGUGCCCACAUAAAGAUGCACUGACAUCAUAACAAUUUAAAAGAUAACCCAUGAUGACUAGAUUGUCAAAAAAGAAUCUAUUUUUAGGGGAAAUAAGAAUCUCACGAUUUAACUAACUUUAAUUUUGGUGUAUUCUCUGAGAAUUUCCGAAUUAUAGCACAUUUAUUCCUUAUAAAUAAAUUUAUUGAUUUUCUGUCUAUGUUUGUAUAGCCACAGCUUCAAAUGAUUACUCUGCAAAAUGGAAAACAGUUCUUGGGUUUCUCUUUACCUUGUAAAAUCAAACUUUGAGGAACUUAUUUUUACAGAUUCCUCAGGCUUUUACAUUUUAUUUUAAUCUAUCCAUUUUAGACCAGAGACAGGUUGAAUGCAUUUUAAUUAAGAAAAUGUUUUCUAGAAUAAGAAUUACCAGUAUUUAUUUAGUGCUCUCUAUGUUCCAGACACAAUCUGUGGUCUCUAAUCUUCAGAACAAGUCUAAGACAGCCUUAUUAACCCAUUAACCUCAUUUUCCCCAUUUACCCACCUCAUACACGUAUAACCUGAAUGUAAGUAAUGUCUACUGAUGAACCCCAAAGCCCAUGCCUGUAACCACCAUGUGCAUGUUUAAAUUAUUUGAGAAAGCUGUGGUUAUAAAUCUUCAGAUAAUUUAAAACAAAUUAUAAUUUAAACAUUUUCUAUUGAUUUACCUUUCAAUUGU